rnacentral:lncRNA from 1 species
ACACAUCACAUGCAAUGUGAGUGGAACUAAAAGUCCUCUAGCUACACUUGUCAUCAAUUUCUUUUGUUAAAUGUUAAUUUAUUUUUGAGUCCUUUUUUAUACGAUAUUUGGUAGAUCUGUAGAGCUUUCAAGACAAUUUUGUUUUAAUCUUUUGAGAUGAUUCAUCGAAAAAGACUUUAAAUUUAAGUCUAGAAAAACAUUAGGACACCCACAUUUCCGAACCAAAACUAAAACACUACCAAACAAAUACGUACAAGAGCAACUGUAUAAUAUAUAUAGAAGGAAAAAGAAACUUGGAGCUGCUAAUACAUUCUUGAAUAAAAGAUCAGAGAGACUUUGCAGACAUGAGUAAAGGUCGUGAACUAGUGACAGUAGUACUUGUGCACACGUUACAUUACAUAACAUCAGACCUGGACCUGAUAGAAGUCCAAAGAGUCUGACUACUCAGGGCCCAGAGAAGUAAGGGCCCAAAAAUAAAAUUUUACAGCUCCUCCCAUAUGAUGUAAUACCGAUUAAAUAAUAAAAGAGAAAGUUAUUAUGAGAGGUUAGUCUUCUACAACAGUUAAAGGAAGGGAAAGAACUUGACUGUAAUAGAAGAAAAGGGCCCACACAAGUUUAUUGCAACCAUAUAUACAUAUCUAAUAUAAUAUUACGAGUCAAAGAAAGAAAGAAAAUAAUGUUAAAAAUUCAUACCAUUUAUAUCGUUUGUAGAUAUGCAUAUAUUUUGGAUAGUUGUAUUAUAUUCAGAAAAUUACAUAGUAGCACACGAACAAAUUGAAAAACACAAAAAACCCAUUUUUGAUAAUUUUUGUACAAAUUAGGACAAAAGCCCGAGACCCAUAAUCUAUGGUACCAAGCCUAAUCCGAUUUUUCUCUGCUAAAUGACCAAAAUACCCAACUUCACAACAGAAUUACAAUUAAUACCAUAUAAUCUCUCUCUCUCUCNNNNNNNNNNNNNNNNNNNNACUUUUCUUUGAUUUCUCUUAUGUUAAUGGUAGCCAUUUCUUAUGAAAAAAGUUGUUGUGUCUUAUGUUAAAUGUAGACUUUGCAUUUUUUACCUUGGUUAAUUUGCUUCAAUCUCAAGAACAAUUUAAUUUUCCAGAAAGUCUACUUUUGUUUGAUUUCUCUUAUGUUAAUGGUAGACGUUUCUAAUGAAAAUAGUAGACGUGUCUUAUGUUAAAUGUAGACUUUGCAACUUUCAGCUUCCAUUAUUGAUUCAAUCUCAAGAACAAUUUAAUUUUCCAGAAAUUCUACUGUUCUUUGAUUUCUCUUAUGUUAAUGGUAGGCGUUUCGAAUGAAAAUAAUAGACGUGUCUUAUGUUAAAUGUAGACUUUGCAACUUUCACCUUCCAUUAUUGAUUCAAUCUUAAGAACAAUUUUGAUUUCCAGAAAGUCUACUUUUCUUUGAUUUCUCUUUUGUCAAUAGUAGAUAUUUAUUAUGAAAAAAGUAGUUGUGUCUUAUGUUAAAUGUAGACUUUGCAUCUUUUACCUUGAGUUGGUUCAAUAUCAAGAACAAUUUAGAUUUCCAGAAAGUCUACUUUUCUUUGAUUUCUCUUAUGUUAAUGGUAGACGUUUCUAAUGAAAAUAGUAGACGUGUCUUAUGUUAAAUAUUGUAAACUUUGCAUUUUUUACCUUGGUUAAUUUGCUUCAAUCUCAAGAACAAUUUAAUUUUCCAGAAAGUCUGCUUUUUUCUUUGAUUUCUCUUAUGUUAAUGGUAGCCAUUUCUUAUAAAAAAAGUUGUUGUGUCCUAUGUUAAAUGCAGACUUUGCAUUUUUUACCUUGGUUAAUUUGCUUCAAUCUCAAGAGCAAUUUAGAUUUCCAGAAAGUCUACUUUUGUUUGAUUUCUCUUAUGUUAAUGGUAGUCAUUUCUUAUGAAAAAAGUAGUUGUGUCUUAUGUUAAAUGUAGACUUUUCAUCUUUUACCUUGGUUUGCUUCAAUCUCAAGAACAAUUUAGAUUUCCAGAAAAUCUACUUUUCUUUGAUUUCUCUUAUGUUAAUGUUAGCCAUUUCUUAUGAAAAAAGUUGUUAUGUCUUAUGUUAAAUAUAGACUUUGCAUUUUUUACCUUGGUUAAUUUGCUUCAAUCUAAGAAAAUUUAGAUUUCCAGAAAGUCUACUUUUCUUUAAUUUCUCUUAUGUUAAUGGUAGCUAUUUCUUAUGAAAAAAGCAGUUGUGUCUUAUGUUAAAUGUGGACUUUUCAUCUUUUACCUUGAUUUGCUUCAAUCUUAAGAACAAUUUAGAUUUCCAGAAAAUCUACUUUUCUUUGAUUUCUCUUAUGUUGAUGGUAGCCAUUUCUUAUGAAAAAAGUUAUUGAGUCUUAUGUUAAAUGUAGACUUUGCAUUUUUUACCUUGGUUAAUUUGCUUCAAUCUCAAGAACAAUUUAAUUUUCCAAAAAGUCUACUUUUCUUUGAUUUCUCUUAUG